AUUGAACGCUGGCGGCAUGCCUUACACAUGCAAGUCGAACGGCAGCACGGGUGCUUGCACCUGGUGGCGAGUGGCGAACGGGUGAGGAAUCCAUCGGAACGUGUCCUGUAGUGGGGGAUAGCCCGGCGAAAGCCGGAUUCAUACCGCAUACGGACUACGGGUGAAAGCGGGGGCCCUCCUGGCCUCGCCCUAUAGGGUUGGCCGAUGGCUGAUUAGCUAGUUGGUGGGGUACAGGCCUACCAAGGCGACGAGCCGUAGCUGGUCUGAGAGGACGGCCAACCAGCCGGGGAGUGAGACAGGGCCCAGACUCCGAGAGGGAGCAGCGGUGGGGAAUUUUGGAGAAUGGGGGAGAGCCGGAUCCAGCAAAGCGGCGUGUGGGAAGAAGGACUUAGGGUGGUAGAGCAAUUAUGGCCGGAAAGAAGUCCUAGGCUCUAAUACGGGCGGAUGAUGACGGUACCGGAAGAAGAAGCACCGGCUAACUACGUG
rnacentral:rRNA from 1 species